rnacentral:rRNA from 1 species
GGGCCCGCACAAGCGGUGGAGUAUGUGGUUUAAUUCGAUGCAACGCGAAGAACCUUACCAGGGUUUGACAUCCUGCGAAUCUCUUGGAAACUUGAGAGUGCCUUCGGGAGCGCAGUGACAGGUGGUGCAUGGCUGUCGUCAGCUCGUGUCGUGAGAUGUUGGGUUAAGUCCCGCAACGAGCGCAACCCACGUCUUUAGUUGCCAUCGGUUCGGCCGGGCACUCUAAAGAAACUGCCUGCGAUGAGCAGGAGGAAGGCGGGGACGACGUCAAGUCAUCAUGGCCCUUAUGGACUGGGCUACACACGUGCUACAAUGGCGGUGACAACAGGCAGCGAAGGGGUGACCUGGAGCAAA